rnacentral:rRNA from 1 species
UGGGGAAUAUUGGACAAUGGAGGAAACUCUGAUCCAGCAAUUCUGUGUGUGUGAAGAAGGUUUUAGGACUGUAAACCACUUUUAGUAGGGAAGAAAAAAAUGACGGUACCUACAGAAGAAGCAACGGCUAAAUACGUGCCAGCAGCCGCGGUAAUACGUAUGUUGCGAGCGUUAUCCGGAAUUAUUGGGCUUAAAGGGCAUCUAGGCGGUAAGACAAGUUGAAGGUGAAAACCUGUGGCUCAACCAUAGGCUUGCCUACAAAACUGUUGAACUAGAGUACUGGAAAGGUGGGUGGAACUACACGAGUAGAGGUGAAAUUCGUAGAUAUGUGUAGGAAUGCCGAUGAUGAAGAUAACUCACUGGACAGAAACUGACGCUGAAGUGCGAAAGCUAGGGGAGCAAACAGG